rnacentral:rRNA from 1 species
ACGGAGGGUGCAAGCGUUAUCCGGAUUCACUGGGUUUAAAGGGAGCGUAGGUGGACUGAUAAGUCAGUGGUGAAAUCUCCGAGCUUAACUCGGAAAUUGCCAUUGAUACUGUUGGUCUUGAGUAUAGUUGCCGUUGGCGGAAUAUGACAUGUAGUGGUGAAAUACAUAGAGAUGUCAUAGAACACCGAUUGCGAAGGCAGCUGACGAAACUAUAACUGACACUGAGGCUCGAAAGUGCGGGGAUCAAACAGGA